CAGGAAGAAAAGAAGAAUGAAUUUUGGGGACAACCAGUAGUCUGUCACAUCUCAUUUGGACAGAUUUUUUUUUUUUUUAAAUGCAGGAAGGAAAUACUGUGGCUAUCUCUAAGUUAAUAGGAUUUGUAAAGACUGUUUCCUCUACACUUUCUGAAUUACCUAAACUUUGUGCAGUGAUCAUCUAUUUCUUUCAUAACAAGAAAGGAGCACGUGCCAAGCGACCGAAGAGUUGAGGCUACCUUCUGACUCUACAGCUUGUGGUUGUGAACCAACAUUACACAUCUCCCCAUACUGUCAGAAACUGUAUCAGCAGUCCUCAGAGCUGGAAACAGCAGUCACAGAAUGAGACGCUUUCCAGAAAAAGAGCCAAAACCCUUUGGACUCCUUUGCUCCAGGAUGUGUUUCCUUCCUGAUUUUGUUUUUCAAAAAGUAUAAGCUCCUUGAAGGUCCUACAGAAGCAAUGCAGAUUGAGAUGAAGGCCUGCACGUGCAGUGGUUUGCAUUUCAGGAAAAGGACUUUGAAUUUAGGGAACUUGAAUCUUUUAUACUGGACAGCCAGCAUGCCCUGCCUUUGCACCAAAGGGAGACACUAUCUCUGUCUUCAAAGACUGUUUGCUGUACAAACUUCAUCAAAGACAUUCUUGGGCAACAGACAGUUGAUGUCUCUGCUCCUAAGAUAGGCAGAAAUGUGACAGAUGCGUGGAAAAGUUCUCCCAGCAGUGCUAAGCCUGCUGUAGCACUUUAAAAAGCUAAAGAAGUAUGACCUCAGCCCUCCAGAAUUCAGUGGAAGAUCAACUAGCUGAUGUGGAACUACAAGCAAAACAUUUCACUUUUCAGUGCUUUUCUUUCUGUGAUUACAAAAUAGGAAUGAUAUCUGCCCACUCACUGCUUAUUUUGAGAAAUAAAGGAAAAAGAACAG